rnacentral:rRNA from 1 species
GAUGAACGCUGGCGGCGUGCCUAAUACAUGCAAGUCGAGCGAACAGACGAGGAGCUUGCUCCUCUGACGUUAGCGGCGGACGGGUGAGUCACACGUGGAUAACCUACCUAUAAGACUGGGAUAACUUCGAGAAACCGGAGCUAAUACCGUAUAAUCUAUUGAACCGCAUGGUUCAAUAGUGAAAGACGGUUUUGCUGUCACUUGUGGAUGGAUCGGCGCCUCAUUAGCUAGUUGGUAAGGUAGUGGCUUAUCAAGGCUACGAUGGGUAGCCGACCUGAGAGGGUGACCGGCCGAAUUGGGACUGAGAGACGGCCCAGACUCCUACGGGAGGCAGCAGUGGGGAAUAUUGCACAAUGGGCGGAAGCCUGAUGCAGCAGCGCCGCGUGCGGGAUGACGGCCUUCGGGUUGUAAACCGCUUUCGCCUGUGACGAAGCGUGAGUGACGGUAAUGGGUAAAGAAGCACCGGCUAACUACGUG